rnacentral:rRNA from 1 species
GCACGGCCUUGCGCCGGCGAUGGUUCAUUCAAAUUUCUUCCCUAUCAACUUUCGAUGUUUGGGUCUUGGCCAAACAUGGUUGCAACGGGUAACGGAGGGUUAGGGCUCGACCCCGGAGAAGGAGCCUGAGAAACGGCUACUACAUCCAAGGAAGGCAGCAGGCGCGCAAAUUACCCAAUCCCGAUUCGGGGAGGUAGUGACAAUAAAUACUGAUACAGGGCUCUUUUGGGUCCUGUAAUUGGAAUGAGUACAAUUUAAAUCCCUUAA